GUGCUCGCUUCGGCAGCACACAUACUAAAAAUUGAAAUGAUAGAAGAUUAGCAUGGUCCCUGUGCAAGGAUGACGCACAAAUGCAUGAAGCAUUAUUAAAAAGA